UGCAGCGCUUUUCACUUACACUAUUACUUCACAAAAAUUGCUACUUAAUAGUCUUUAAAAUAGAAGUUUGAUUGUAUUCCUAUUUUUUAGUAUAUUGGAAGCUCUUGAAAAUUGAUAAUUUAGCAUGGAGCAAUACAUUGUUGUCGUCUAGUCAAACAAGCUUCACUGCGUAAAAUUUCUUUCAUAUUCUUAAGGUAUAAAACUGAUUUUGUUCAAAAAGGUAUAAGGAUUGACUAUAGGGAAUGCUUCCUGAACUCUUUAGUUUUUAUUAAAAUUUUGAAAUUGGAUCGUUUAAAUAUAUAUAUGAGCGUUAAACUUCGACUUGUACAUGCUACAAAAGACUACGUAUAUACAUAGUUCGCCUCAAAUCGUCAGAAAAUCCCGAUUUUAAAAAUUAUUUUUAUUUUUUAACACUAAGAUUAUUUGAACAUCGCCGUUCUAACUCCAUGAACGCAGUAUUAAUUGUGGUUUUCACCUAGAUAGUUUUUAGCAAGUUUUUUCAAAAAUGCUUAUUGUUCUUACC